CGGGUGAAAAGCCCGCUCGCCGGAAGACCAAGGGUUCCUGUCCAACGUUAAUCGGGGCAGGGUGAGUCGACCCCUAAGGCGAGGCCGAAAGGCGUAGUCGAUGGGAAACGGGUUAAUAUUCCCGUACUUGGUGUUACUGCGAAGGGGGGACGGAGAAGGCUAUGUUGGCCGGGCGACGGUUGUCCCGGUUUAAGCGUGUAGGUGUGUGUUCCAGGUAAAUCCGGUUCACUUUAACACUGAGGCGUGAUGACGAGGCACUACGGUGCUGAAGCAACAAAUGCCCUGCUUCCAGGAAAAGCCUCUAAGCAUCAGGUAACAUCAAAUCGUACCCCAAACCGACACAGGUGGUCAGGUAGAGAAUACCAAGGCGCUUGAGAGAACUCGGGUGAAGGAACUAGGCAAAAUGGUGCCGUAACUUCGGGAGAAGGCACGCUGACACGUAGGUGAAGUGAUUUACUCAUGGAGCUGAAGUCAGUCGAAGAUACCAGCUGGCUGCAACUGUUUAUUAAAAACACAGCACUGUGCAAACACGAAAGUGGACGUAUACGGUGUGACGCCUGCCCGGUGCCGGAAGGUUAAUUGAUGGGGUCAGCGCAAGCGAAGCUCCUGAUCGAAGCCCCGGUAAACGGCGGCCGUAACUAUAACGGUCCUAAGGUAGCGAAAUUCCUUGUCGGGUAAGUUCCGACCUGCACGAAUGGCGUAAUGAUGGCCAGGCUGUCUCCACCCGAGACUCAGUGAAAUUGAACUCGCUGUGAAGAUGCAGUGUACCCGCGGCAAGACGGAAAGACCCCGUGAACCUUUACUAUAGCUUGACACUGAACAUUGAGCCUUGAUGUGUAGGAUAGGUGGGAGGCUUUGAAGUGUGGACGCCAGUCUGCAUGGAGCCGACCUUGAAAUACCACCCUUUAAUGUUUGAUGUUCUAACGUGGACCCGUAAUCCGGGUUGCGGACAGUGUCUGGUGGGUAGUUUGACUGGGGCGGUCUCCUCCUAAAGAGUAACGGAGGAGCACGAAGGUUGGCUAAUCCUGGUCGGACAUCAGGAGGUUAGUGCAAUGGCAUAAGCCAGCUUGACUGCGAGCGUGACGGCGCGAGCAGGUGCGAAAGCAGGUCAUAGUGAUCCGGUGGUUCUGAAUGGAAGGGCCAUCGCUCAACGGAUAAAAGGUACUCCGGGGAUAACAGGCUGAUACCGCCCAAGAGUUCAUAUCGACGGCGGUGUUUGGCACCUCGAUGUCGGCUCAUCACAUCCUGGGGCUGAAGUAGGUCCCAAGGGUAUGGCUGUUCGCCAUUUAAAGUGGUACGCGAGCUGGGUUUAGAACGUCGUGAGACAGUUCGGUCCCUAUCUGCCGUGGGCGCUGGAGAACUGAGGGGGGCUGCUCCUAGUACGAGAGGACCGGAGUGGACGCAUCACUGGUGUUCGGGUUGUCAUGCCAAUGGCACUGCCCGGUAGCUAAAUGCGGAAGAGAUAAGUGCUGAAAGCAUCUAAGCACGAAACUUGCCCCGAGA
rnacentral:rRNA from 1 species